UUGUGCCUGGGUGUCCCCAGUUUAUGCCCUAGCCUAAGGACAAUGAUAAGGGAUACAGGCCUCUCCACCAAUGGGGCUGACACCCCGGAGGUCACUGCUUUAGCUGAAGUUCUCAGGGCUAUUGGCAUUAAAUGGUCCAGGUUCAAUCCCCGGAGAAGACCUGGGCUCUGUCUGUGGCCACUGUGAGCACAUGAGACACGCCCACUCUCUGGUCUCUGUCUCCUCCCUUUCCACAUAUCCCAAUGCUGGUGCCCCUUGUUACUGGAAUAACCCAGAGUGGAGGGUGGCACAGCACCCCAGCGUGUCCCAGGGAGGGCACCAGAACCUGUCUCCAUUCAGGGCCCCAAAGGCUCCCCACAUCCCAUCUCUCUGGGCCCAUGGAGAGCACAGGGCUGUGGGCAGGUGACAUCUCAGAUGAUAAAGCUCAGAUGCAGGUUUCCCAGAGUUUGGGGGCUUCUGGGAUUGGGGAUCAGACCCAUGUCUCACCCUUCCUGCUUUCCUCAGCAGGGAGGACGGGCCGUUUCAGAAGCCAGAGCUGGGGUUUGCGGAGCUGGAGAAGAGACUCAGCGAUUUCUCUCUGAAAAGUGCUAUCCUGCAGGAGGUGCUGCUGGGAUUCAAAGAGACUCUGCGACUGGAGCUGGAGAACAACACAGCAGGUGAUGGGGCAGUGAGUGAGAACGAGGAGGAGAAUCCGCAGCAGGGAGAUACUCUGCAUGUGGAACCACCCGGGAUGUUAUCAGAAAGAUCUGAAAAGAAUAUUCACUGGAGUCGUGAGCAGAGAAAAGGUCAUGAGAGUCCGUUCUGGCCAGAGAAGCAGCAGGGAAAUCAGCCAGGGGAUGGUCGGGGAAGUGGCCAGGACCUCCAGGAAACCACAGCCCAGCAGAGAAUCCCCCCAGGAGUGAGAAAAAACACCUGCACGGAGUGUGGGAAAACCUUCAGUAGCUGCUCAGCUCUUAUUACACAUCAGAGUAUCCACAUGGGCAAGACACCCUAUAGAUGCUGCGAGUGCGGGAAAAGCUUCAAUCGGAACUCGCACCUUAGUAGACAUCGGAGACUCCACACAGGACAGAGACCCUUUAAAUGCUCCGAGUGCGGGAAAAGUUUCAGUGUGAGCUCAAACCUUAUUGCACAUCAGACAAUCCACACAGGAACCAGACCCUUUACCUGUUCUGAGUGCGGGAAAAGCUUCAAUCGGAACUCAAACCUUAUUACACAUUUUAGAAUCCACACGGGCAGUAGACCUUUCACAUGUGCUGACUGUGGGAAAAGCUUCACUGACAGCUCAAACCUUACUCAGCAUCAGAGAACGCAUGUGGGGGAGAGACCCUAUAGAUGCUCAGAGUGCGGGAAAAGCUUCACUCGGAGCUCUGACCUUAUUAGACAUGAAACAAUCCACACAGGAGACAGACCCUUUAAAUGCUCAGCAUGUGGGAAAAGUUUCAAUCAGAACUCACACCUUAUUACGCAUCAGAGGAUCCACAAGGGAGAGUAAUCCCAUAAAUAGCUUGGCUAGGGCUGGCCGUAAGUUUUUUUUUUAUAAUACAUUUGCUAUUUCCCACAUAGUGACCUUUAAAGCUGUUUGCACCAUUUGCUUCACUGUGGUCCUUCAGAUCCCCCAGGUGAAUUGCCCGCUUUUGCUGCUCAUCUUUCUUUGGGGUGAAGCCUGUUGUCUGUUCUAUCAAUUCCUUGAUAUCCUCUAAGGCAUGGGAGUGUGUGCCCCUCCUGACAGGAAUGUCUGUCAGUCCCAGAUAGGGAGAUAGGGAUGACCUCAACUAGCUACAUUGAGGUAAAAAUCUACUUGGACUUUGUCUCUACUAGGGUUUUCCGUGGAGGUAGCUAGCUUGAUUUAAAUACUAAACUAUUUUUGCAGUAAAGACAUAGCCCUGCUAAAAUGGUUGGGGUUAGCUAGCGCAUUUCUCCUUAAGCUGACCCAACCUCCAUCACUCUUCCUAGUGCAGACAAUCCCAAGCAUCACAUUUCUAUUUACUCCUGUGGGAACUCUGCGCCAAAAAAAUAAAAAAUUCUGCACACAAUAUUUUAAAAUUCUGAAAACAAAUACUACAUAAUCAUGCCAGUUUCAAUUAUUUUGGUAAUUUAUUUCAAAAUACUUGUCAGCAAAUAUGACUGUAACAAUACAGACACACACAAAAUUUCCCCCAGGAGCAGAGAGUUAAAGAAACCUCUAUGACAACCUAGUCCCUGUUUCUCUGCCCCACCCCACCCCCACCCAGAGCCCAGCCGAGUGGUCAGAGCCCAGCCGUGGCCCCCUCAGGCCAGACACCAGCUCCCCCCCCCCCUUGAGCCCAGCUGUGACACACACCCCUGGCCAGACACCAGCUCUCCUUCCUCCCCCCUGACCAGCUGUGGCCCCCCUAGGCCAGACACCAGCCCCCCUCCCAUGCAGAGCACAGCCGUGGCCCCCUAGGCUGGACACCAGCCCCCUCCCGUGUAGAGCCCAGCCGUGGUCCCCCCAGCCCAGGUACCCAUCCCCGCACCACCCAGAGCCCAGCCGUGGUCCCCCCAGCCCAGGCACCCAUCCCCCCACCACCCAGAGUCCAGCCAUGGUCCUCCCAGCUCAGACACCAGCCCCCUACUGGCCACGGAUCCAGAGGGAGAAACCGCCUGUUGCUGGGUCCCAGGCUCGUGUGGAGUUUCCCGCACACCGCCCGCUCUUUCCCUCGGGGCGUGCGGGGAAUUGCAGCUGCCAGGAACUCUCUACUCUCUCCCCUGGUCCUCCCCACCCCCGCAGUGUCUUGUGUGUGCAAGCAGGGCUUAGCCGAGUCCAGCGGCCCCUGCUGGCGGCCAGCAGCAUCGCAGCCUAUUUCUAGGGGGGAAAGGAAAUUAUGCGUAAAAACCAUUAAUUUCUGCAAAAUUCUGCAUUGCGCAGUGGCACAGAAUUGCCUCAGGAGUAUUCUUGUUCCCCCACUAGCAGGGUGAUUGUCAGAGUACUCCCUCACUGCUACGGCUUUAGAAUUUAUUCUGUCCCUCCACCUCUCAAAGUGUCAUGUGACACACUGUUCUCAGCUCUGUGCUUCGGAAUCACAUACUUGUAAGCACUGGAAAUGAAAGUGUCACAGACCUAGAGGGGAGAUUUGAGUGGAUCCCAAAGCCAGUGUGGUCGGUCUGAUCUUAAAUCCCCGUUUCCAUUGAUUGAAAAAGUGACUUUGGGGCUUUUUCCUGCUGAGCAGAUGGAAAAACUGCUGUUUUCCCCCAUUUCAAUUAUGCUAAAACUGUUGAAAAUAAUGAGGUGGUGUUGAGUGAAGCAGGUUUGAAUGGAUCAUAGGAGAACACAGUGGGAGAAUUUAUCCUCCUGACUUUUGAAUCACUACAUAGAACCUCCUCUGGAAUUCAUAGUGUAUUACACAGUAAUUAUCAUAUUUCUCUGCAUUAUGGAUUUCUCUUUCCUGAAUGCAGUUUGGUCACGUAACUGGAUAUUUUGUUGGACAGAAUGUAGAUCAGAUUUAUUAGGGACUUUGAAACAGAUGACCAUUUUCUAAAAUAGUCUUGUGGUUUUUUUCCCCCAUCCCUCCACGGUGACAGAGAGGAAAUUCUUUCAGUCACCGGGAGAGAAUGCUCCAAUUUAUUGGGCAUGCUACCAAGGAACUAGUCGUAUAUUUUAAAUCUCCAUACUGAAAUGGUGAACAACAGUACACCACAAAUGGUGCAACUAGCUGAAGUAAUUGGAUAUGAUCACACUGUUGUUCAGUUGGUUGGGUCAAUAACGUGUCAGAUGAUCUGGGGAGAGAAUUUCACAGGAAGUGACUUGGAACUAGGCAAAACAUUUGGUUCCCAAAACAGUUGUGGCCCAGGCAGGUCCGGAUUAAAAAAUUUUGGGGGCCCCUCCCCACCUUCCUUAAACUAGAUAGAGCAUGUGAUAUACUAUAUGUAAAUAUGAGAUCCUCUUCAUUUAUGAUGAUGAUUUCAGAGUUAGAGCUUUCUCAGCAGAAAAUACAGAAGCACCACUGAAAGUGAAAUGAUGGUGUCUUAUGCUAACUUAUACAGUAGCAUUGUGAACUUUGAGAAUUAGAACACAAACAGAAUUUGAAUAUAAGAAUAAAAGUUAGCCCCACUGAGUGUAAAAAAGCAUUACGAUGUGCUGUGCUGCAUGUUUCAUGUACUGGAAGAAAACAUGUAUGUUUAAUAUAUUUUAACGUGUUUUGUUUGUUUAGGGUUUUUUGUUAACCACAAUUCUCCACUUUUACCUAGUCGUUUGUUCACUUUGUUACCCUUUUUUAACAAACCUAAUAAUUAUUUUUAUAGAAUGCUUCAGACUAUCACAUGCACCUGGUGUAUUAAACUAAAUUGGUUUGUUCAAUUCUCAAACAA